AGCUAUGCAAAGCGAGAGAAAAAUGGAUGCAAGUUUUGGAUUGCUGGAUUCUGAACUGAAGCAGAGGGCUUAGUAUGAUACUGGGUAUAUAGUUACUUUUGUCCAUUUCAUAUUGUCCAACUUUUCAUCAUCAACAGUCCCUCAAUCUGAGGAGUAAAUAGGGGAAGUCACCAGAGAGUCCAGAGAUGGCCGAGGAGGCCAAACCAAGAUUCACAUGUUCGACUACAGAUGUGGCAUAUAGUUCUGGAAGGAAGGAGUGGGUCCUGAUAAUGUUGAAUCACAGCUCUUUCCCUUUGUCUCUCUUGGCUGUUUGCUUCCUCAUAGUGAGGAACGAUGCGAAUGGACAUUGUGGACCGUAUUAGAUGAGGAUCCAUCCUGCAGCUAUCUGUGCUGGUCAUACCUCUGGUGAUACAGACAUUGUGAUGGUCUGAAGCAUGCACCAUGUUGGAGUUUGUGAGAAUGAGAUCAUGUUCUGAACACUUGCUCAGGGAAGAAUUCCAUCAGAGUCUAUGCUCACUCUAACAUUAAAAUUCCCAAGAAGAAUUAUCUUCUCUACUUUGGAGACAAAUGACAGCAAUAGAACUCUUCUUCUGUUUUGUCAUCUGCAUCAAAGGUCAGGGCAUAUGUACUAAUGACUUUUGCAUGUUACCUGCUGCUGGAUAUCACUUAUAUCUGACAGGAUUAUCUGACAGCAGUAAAUUAGUCUACUGUGCCCUAAUUGCCAUGCAUGUCUAGACAGUUAUGCUUUACUGCACAGCAAAUUAGUCUGCUGUACAGUAAAAUGUCUCAUAUAAACAUGCCCACUGAGGAAGGAGGACGUUGACUGGAGAGGAAGGACAGACUCCAUGACUUGAAGGAGAAGUCAUAUGCUAAAAUGAGACACUAGAAACCUUAGAUAACUAUAAAGAAUACUCUAGUAUUUUGAGGAAACCAAGACAGGGAAUGGCAUAGAGGCAUUUUAUUUUGCCUGGAGCUGUAUUGCGUUGUCUAGAAAAGAUGAAUGUUUUGGUUUGGAAACUUUGGCAAAACAUUUGCUUUAAAUGCUUAUAAAGGCCUUUUAGGCUGACAAAUAAAUGCCGAUAUAAGAUAAAAUGACUACAGAUAUAUUUAGACUAGAAAUUAGAAGAGGACUUCUGUCAGAAGAGUAAAGUUUUGGAAUUGUCCUUGAAGCAAAGUACUGGGGGCACAAAGCUUAGUCACUUCAAGAAUGAACUGGACAAAUUAUGCAAGGGAUGAUAUGAUAGGAUAGAUUUCUGGCUUAACAAUCAGUGUGUCUGUGAUACAGAUUCAUGUGUUUGCACCCCCAGUUUGAAAUAUUAAGGUAGCUCUUAUGGCCAGAAAGAUUUCUGGAAAGGCAGUCCUGGAAACAAAGACUAAAGACAUCUUAAGUUGAAUGUCCUUUAGAGAGCGCCCAGCAGCAGGAGCUUUGCCAAGGAUGACAGUAGCAAAUAAAAAAAAUAGUUAGCUGUGUUAAACUGAAGGUAAGCAGAAGCCAGGGCAGUGUGACACCUUACAGACUCACUUGUUCAGCAAGCCAUGAACUUUUGUAGUCUACAGCCUACUUUGUCAUAUGCUAUAAAAUAGCAGAAGUAGCAAAUAAGGUACAGUAGAGUACUGAUUAUUCCAAAUGUCAAUUAACUGGAAGGUUUUGUAUUAAUGAGAAAAUGCUGUGUUUGCCAGUGUAAUAAGUUCAGUACCAGUAACAUACAUGGAAUUUGCCCUGCCCUCUGACCUUCCCCCUCACUCUUUCAUGCAGGCAUAGUCAGCAAUUUUGGGUUCAUGCUUCUUAUUUGCUGUACAGUACAGUAAUUAUAGCAUUCAGCACUUCAAACUAUGUUGUUUGAUUAUCUGGAAAAAAAUUAUUAUCCAGAAUGAUGGUGAUACUAACAAUUCCUGAUAAUCUAUGCUCUACUGUACAUGGAAACAGAACAAAUUUCCAUUCUUUUUCUUUGUUAAUUAGUGGUAUUUUUUUUUCUUCCAGAAAUCUCAGCUCCCCAUAAACUUCCAGAUCCCAGAAAUUCAUUCACUCUAAACAUUUUGAACUAACCAGAGGCCAAGGCAAAGAGUCAAUUUCCCUAUGGCUCAGGCAGCCACCUUGCAUAUAACAUGGCAUGUUAUCCCAAGACUGGCCAUUUGUUCACACCUUAAUAUUAGUCUUCCAGAUUCUUUCUUGGUUAUGCUACCUGGUUGAUACCUGCCAUAACAUACAUAAAACCCUGCCUUUUGUUUUUAAGUGAAAUUUAUUUCUACAGUGAGAAUAGGGGAGCUGAAAGCCCCCCUUUUUUUAGCUUACACUUGACGUGAGAAGCUCUAAAGCAAAAACACAUGUCUUAGAAGAGUAAAGAUGAUUUUAAUUUUCUAAUUUAAGAAUAUUAGUCAGAUGGUUUAAGGAAAAUGUUUCCAAUGCCAGAAGACAAAAAUCUUCAAAGGUAUUAUAUUUCUUAGAAGGUUGGAAGGAAGUAUAAAAUAGAUUGAUUGUGAUGUGGUAGGAAGCAAACUAAAGCCCCCAGUUAUGCAGGGAAGAAAGUCUUUUGCAAGUUGCUACAGCCCUGGCAGCUGUAUAAGGCUUAAAUUUGGUAACCUGGCAUUCAUCUCAUGUCCUAGAAAGAAAAAGCUCUCAUUCAGUUUUUCUGGAGACUUUCUAUUUCUUUAUAGAUACUGAGUGAUGAAGAUGGAGAAUGAAGACGAUGUGGAAGGAAGUGGGGGAGUAAAGCCUUCUUCAAAACAUCUUCUUAGAAAGAUUACCUCUGAACUAUGGAAACAGCUGAGUAAAAGGAAGGAUUCUUAGGGAGCAUGUUCUCUUUGCCUACAGUUCAGGAUCUACCAAACUCAAAGAGGUAGCCAGCUGAUUUCACAGGCAGAUCCCAGGGCCAGCCACCAGUUUUGUGGGCUGAGCAUAGAGGGGUCCUACCAUGCCUCUGAUUGGCCAAGGGGCACUGGCAGUCCUAUCCCUCCCUGCAGAUUGCCAUGUGACUUCAAAUUACCUUGAGCCUACAGCUCAAGGUAAGCUAAAUUAGCUUGAUUACCCUGAUUAAACCCAGGGAAGUCAUUAAUCCAUGUGUUAUUAAGUGUGGAUUAACGGCUUCCCCAGGCUUAAUCAGGAUGAUUAAGCCAUGGUUUUGAGCCAUCCCCAAGCAGUGGGCUCCAUGACUUUGGCUGGCUUGCAGCAAACCGCCCCCCUUCCCCCCCCAACCCCUCCCCACAAAAAACAAAAACCCCAAACAACAAACAAACCCAACCCCACCAAAAACCCCUUACUGGCAAGCAGAAAGUCUUGGAACAUGGGGAAGGUGUGUAGGGCAGGUUCGUUCUGCCCCACCCCCUUCUCCUUCUCUCCCUCUUCCCUGCCCCUCCCACCCCCCAGCACAGUUACACAUAUUGCAAAAAGUGGAAAUUCAUUAGACAAUAGGAGAGAUGCAAGUGUGGAAUCAGAAUAAAUAUAUGCCUUAAACUUUGAUUAUUUUAGUUAUAAGAUGACAUAACCGCUUUGUGGAGAAUUGCUGGCUCUGUAUAGUAGAACAGAUAAAAGAAAGUGUUUGUUCUUUGUAACUCCUCUGUAACUGCUUUGCUCACCGCGGCCUUGAAGAUAGCAAAAAAGUAUGUACAAAUCUGAUUUCCAGGUGCAAGAAGGAGGUUUGUGAACUAACCUGGCCUCCCCCAUUAGUUCCCAUCCUGAUUACAGCAAAGAAAUAAUGAAGUAAUAUUAUAGCCGCUUUUCAUGCUAAUGUCACUAUAUGAUCACGUGAGUUGUAAGCGACUGUUAAAAAGUAUAUAAGCCUCCUGAUUUUGCUCUUGGGGGGGGACCCCUUCCAAGUGCUUGGGAAAUCCAUGUCACUUUGGAACUCCCCCUACAGCUAUAGUUUCUUUUGAAUAAAAGCUUCUGCUGACCUGA